GCCUGCCGCUGGGACUUCAAUCCGUGAAGCCACAGAUCUUCCAGAGCUUUUCUUUUUUCCAGCUAUUUGCUUUAUAAAUGAGAAAGUUGAGCCCUGGCCACUUCGUCCCGGAUCCAAAAGUCACGAGCUAAUAGAGGCACAGCCUCCUCAUCUGCAGCCCGCCGGCGGCUCUGACCAACCCAGCACUCUGGUUCUACAGGACCGCCUCUUAGUCGCAGAAAGUCCACACCCAAGAUGGCCGAAAACAUUUGUUCUCACACCCACUUCCGGGCCAACCCUCUGAGCCCGCUGGAGCCCUGACAGGGAAUUGCACUCCUUUCAGGACUCAUGUGCAGACACCGGUAACACAACAGGGCCUUGAUUACUGGAAACUCAAGAAGAAGCGCGGAGUAUCAUUUAGGGAGAGUAUAAAUGCCGCUCUCGGUUUAGCUUAUCUUCAUCAUCUUAUCCCAUGAAGCCGUUCCUCAUCCCAGCAUCUCUGUCAUGAUUAUCUGUAUACAUUGUGACUAAAAGAACGCUUGACUAAAAGUGAGAAAAAUCCAACUCAAAGUAUGAAAAAAGGAAAAUUAUUAUCACACAGAGUUUCUAGAUCAGCUGAGAACAACCUGAGUAAUAAACCAAAACCAAAGUCUGGAAAUCACCAAUUCAAAGGAAAGAGGCAAAGGGAAGAAUCCAGUCCAGGUAAAAACCUCGGGACAGGUUCCCAGGCUACCACAUAAAUAGGUCAAAGUCACUGUCUCUAUCCCCACCCCAGUGAUCCUCUCUUCCUCCAGGUCACUAAUCUGGCUCCAGAGCUGACCCACAGAAUUGAAGACUAACAGCAACAAAGACUUCACUAACCAAUGAUACAGAUAAUGGAAGUGAGGAAUUCAGUUAGAAGAUCUUCUCUCCAGGUAGGUCAGAAACUUGAGGAGAAAGAUAAGAAUUGAAGUGGACAACUGAGAUAGAGUCAAAUUUCAGUGGUAGCAAGGGGCAUUUAAAUCAAUAGAAGAUAACAUUCAAAAAGGCACACUGUCAAGAGAGCAAAGGGCCUUACUGAAAAUACUUUUGUGAGGCCCUUUUCCAAUCAAAGUAGGCCUCCUAUCUCACAUUUCUUGGGGCCUUAUUCUCUUUCCUCUGAUCUGAUAAACCAAUCCUUGCUAAGGUGCAAGUGGAUUGAUGAAUAGCUCCUUCUGAGUAACAUAUUUACAUUUUCCUAGGGACCUUUUGGACACAGAGCCUUAAACCAAAGGAAUGGCUGCAAAUCCUGGUCGUUUUCCAGUAUGGUGAUAAAUUGGUAGGGAAGAAAUUAUAGGCCAGGUAUGGUUUCAUUUUCCCUCAAAUCCCUCUUUUUUGCAUGCAAACCUGGUACUAAUCUCAGGGCUCAACAUUUCAUAAAACUCCGUGUGCCUGGAAAGCCACACUUCCCAUGGGAAUACUAGGGUCCACAGCCCAGGUGCCCAAAGCGUAGCUACCUAAGUAAAGCUUGAUCACAGCCUGGUUAUGGUUCUGAAUACUCUGCCGGUCACAUGAUACCUUUACAGGAACCAGAGCCAUCCCAUAAGUGCCAUGGACUUGUCAUCUUUACUGGACAAGAUGCAAAAGACUCUGAAAUGUUGUGAAACAUAAUAAAUAUAAUUUGUUGCUUUGGAAACUUUUGGUUCUGAAUAUUCUCAAGUUUGAGAAAUCUUUUGAGGCAAUGGUUAAGGAAUAAAGACAAACCACAAAGAAAAUCUCAAUUACAAAAUAAUUGCAAUAGUGAUACAUUUUGUUACCUUAAGUUUGUUUUGUUUUUAUUAUUAUUAUCAGUAAUAGAAGUAGUACAGUAAUUGUUGCAGCAGUAGCACUGGUCUAGAAAGACUAUUCUCUCUGGAAGCAUAAAAUAGGAUGGAACUGGAUUUACACCUUUCUUUCUUUCUUUCUUUCUUUCUUUCUUUCUUUCUUUCCUUUUAGGGGGACCUCACACGGGCACUAUCACUGAGCUACACCCCUAGUCAGAAAUAUGACUUUCUACUUCAGCUCAUAUUCUUUUCUUUUAAACAGACAUACUUAUCAUCAAACCAAAGUUAAACACUGUAUCAGAUACUGAUUAAAACAUUAAUAACUCACAAAAUAGAUAGGACUAGCAGGAACAUUUUUUUUUUUUUUUGGUACCAGGGAUCGAACUCAGGACCUUGAGCUUGGGAGGCAGGCGCCAGAACCACUGAGCUAAAUCCCCAGCUCCCAUUUAUGAAUUCAUCUUUGAGACCAGAGGAAAAGCUUGGUU
rnacentral:lncRNA from 1 species